rnacentral:rRNA from 1 species
CACGUAGGGUGCGAGCGUUGUCCGGAAUUAUUGGGCGUAAAGAGCUCGUAGGCGGUGUGUCGCGUCGGCCGUGAAAACCUGGGGCUUAACUCUGGGCUUGCGGUCGAUACGGGCAUCACUGGAGUUCGGCAGGGGAGACUGGAAUUCCUGGUGUAGCGGUGAAAUGCGCAGAUAUCAGGAGGAACACCGGUGGCGAAGGCGGGUUGCUGGGCUGAUACUGACGCUGAGGCGCGAAAGCCAGGGGAGCGAACGGG